rnacentral:rRNA from 1 species
UACGUAGGGUGCAAGCGUUGUCCGGAAUUAUUGGGCGUAAAGAGCUCGUAGGCGGUCUGUCGCGUCGGCUGUGAAAACCCGGGGCUCAACCCCGGGCCUGCAGUCGAUACGGGCAGACUAGAGUGCGGUAGGGGAGACUGGAAUUCCGGGUGCAGCGGUGGAAUGCGUAGAGAUCCGGAAGAACGCCAGUGGCGAAGGCGGCCCGCUGGGCAGUGGCUGACGCUGAGGCGCGACAGCGUGGGGAGCAACAGG